rnacentral:rRNA from 1 species
GACGAACGCUGGCGGCGUGCUUAACACAUGCAAGUCGAGCGAGGCCCUUCCUUCGGGAAGGUGCCCUAGCGGCGAACGGGUGAGUAACACGUGGGCAACCUGCCCCUAGCACUGGGAUAACUCCGGGAAACCGGGGCUAAUACCGGAUAUGACCUUUGAGGGCAUCCUCACUGGUGUAAAGGAUUCUGGCUAGGGAUGGGCCCGCGGCCUAUCAGCUUGUUGGUGGGGUAAUGGCCUACCAAGGCGACGACGGGUAGCCGGCCUGAGAGGGCGACCGGCCACACUGGGACUGAGACACGGCCCAGACUCCUACGGGAGGCAGCAGUGGGGAAUAUUGCACAAUGGGCGAAAGCCUGAUGCAGCGACGCCGCGUGAGGGAUGACUGCCUUC